rnacentral:rRNA from 1 species
CCUACGGGUGGCUGCAGUGAGGAAUAUUGGUCAAUGGACGGAAGUCUGAACCAGCCAUGCCGCGUGCAGGAUGACGGCUCUAUGAGUUGUAAACUGCUUUUGUAUUAGGGUAAACACCCCUACGUGUAGGGGCUUGAAAGUAUAAUACGAAUAAGGAUCGGCUAACUCCGUGCCAGCAGCCGCGGUAAUACGGAGGAUCCAAGCGUUAUCCGGAAUUACUGGGCGUAAAGCGCUCGUAGGCGGUAUGUCAAGUCAAGGGUGAAAUCCCCGCGCUCAACGUGGGAACUGCCUUUGAAACUGGCAAACUGGAGUGUGUGAGAGGAUAGUGGAAUUCCAGGUGUAGGAGUGAAAUCCGUAGAUAUCUGGAGGAACAUCAGUGGCGAAGGCGACUAUCUGGCACAUAACUGACGCUGAGGAGCGAAAGCGUGGGUAGCAAACAGGAUUAGAUACCCUGGUAGUC